GUAUCUAGAGUAAUUUGGAGAGCUGUAGGAGCCCUUCUUGGGACUGAUUGCUGCCCUAAUUCCAUCUGGCAGUAUUACACUUGGAUGUAUAGUUUCUUACUUGGUUUUGAGAAAAUUUAUACUGUUGGCUUGGCAGCUGUAUGCUGGGCCAUAUGUCUAGCCUGGUACAGAGCUACUUUUGAACACAAAUGGAUUAAUUCUCCAUUUGAGAUCGUGUUCACAGCUUGUGCCUUUCUAAUGUGUUGGGUAGGUCUUCAGAAACCUGAGAUGGAAGAGAUGGUGAAGAAGGGCGCGGAGAUGCUGAAAGAGAAUACAACUCAGAUGAUGCUGCUGAGUGGACCUCCGGCUCCAAACAUGGACGGGCGUGACUGA
rnacentral:rRNA from 1 species